UUAGUGGUUGAUAGCCUUGGUGUCUUUUCAUGUGCACCACUAGGAAUGCCUUCAUAAUUGCAGUUAAUGUUGCAUUUAGGAUAGUUAAAGGCUAGCUGCCUAUAUGUACACGAAAUUACAAUGGAAUAGAUAGACUUGAAUUUUCAGACAAAUCCUUGUGUAUUGUGAGAGUAUUCUCUAGGUUCUAGGUUGAACCCGUUCAAACUCAUUGGAGGCUGUCCAUCACCCUUGUGGCGUCUUCCUUUGGCUUAUCUUUCAUUGCUGGAAGUGGUGCAUUCCACCUAUCAUCAAGGGAACUUUAACCAGAACUGUGUCACUCUCACUCUGGUGUAACUCGAUCAGGGUAUUACAUCAAAGAUGAUCAAAUACCUUCCUAGACUCAACCAUAAACAAUGUCGACCAAGGAUCAACUAGUGUUGCUUUUAGGACUCCGUUGACACCUUAUGAGAAAUCAAAGUCUUUUAGUUCCAAGGGAAAUAUGGUCGUAAGGUUGAAACUUAAAGGAAUUGACGAAAGAGAACCACCAAGAAUGUUCGAGUUUAACAAUACAUAAUUUAAUCUUUUUAAAAGACCAUGA
rfam:Glycine max cultivar Williams 82 chromosome 9, whole genome shotgun sequence.